AUACUUCCCUUGAUGGGGCUUUUGGGUGAUCAAGAAGGCCCAUAGCACAUUAGGGAGGGGUGUCCGCCUAAGGUCUGUCCAAUAUGGCAGAGCUUAUGCCAUACUUUGUGGCAGUGUGGAACUACGUUCUUGGGACCCGAU
rnacentral:snRNA from 10 species